GCUGCCUCAGCCUUUGCUGGAGGUGCUUCUGCAGGCUUUUCUUUCGGCUUCUCGGGCUCAGCCUUGGGCUUUUCAGGUUCCUUUGGAGGCUCCUUAGCUUUUUCCGACUCUUUGGGCUUUUCCGGCUCCUUGGGUUUCUCGGGGUCUUUAGGCUUUUCCGGCUGCUUGGGCUUCUCCGGUCCCUUGGGCUUCUCUGGCUCCUUGGGCUUCUCCGGCUGCUUGGGCUUCUCUGGUUCCUUGGGCUUCUCUUGGGGUGGUGGGGUGGGUUUGGGAGGAUCAAGAAUCUCGAUUGAUUUGAUA
rnacentral:lncRNA from 1 species